rnacentral:rRNA from 1 species
GCGCGGCUUACCAUGCAAGUCGAGCGGAGCGAGGGUGCUUGCACCUUAGCUUAGCGGCGGACGGGUGAGUAAUGCUUAGGAAUCUGCCUAUUAGUGGGGGACAACAUUCCGAAAGGAAUGCUAAUACCGCAUACGCCCUACGGGGGAAAGCAGGGGAUCUUCGGACCUUGCGCUAAUAGAUGAGCCUAAGUCGGAUUAGCUAGUUGGUGGGGUAAAGGCCUACCAAGGCGACGAUCUGUAGCGGGUCUGAGAGGAUGAUCCGCCACACUGGGACUGAGACACGGCCCAGACUCCUACGGGAGGCAGCAGUGGGGAAUAUUGGACAAUGGGCGGAAGCCUGAUCCAGCCAUGCCGCGUGUGUGAAGAAGGCCUUUUGGUUGUAAAGCACUUUAAGCGAGGAGGAGGCUCUUAAGGUUAAUACCCUUGAUGAGUGGACGUUACUCGCAGAAUAAGCACCGGCUAACUCUGUGCCAGCAGCCGCGGUAAUACAGAGGGUGCGAGCGUUAAUCGGAUUUACUGGGCGUAAAGCGUGCGUAGGCGGCUGAUUAAGUCGGAUGUGAAAUCCCUGAGCUUAACUUAGGAAUUGCAUUCGAUACUGGUCAGCUAGAGUAUGGGAGAGGAUGGUAGAAUUCCAGGUGUAGCGGUGAAAUGCGUAGAGAUCUGGAGGAAUACCGAUGGCGAAGGCAGCCAUCUGGCCUAAUACUGACGCUGAGGUACGAAAGCAUGGGGAGCAAACAGGAUUAGAUACCCUGGUAGUCCAUGCCGUAAACGAUGUCUACUAGCCGUUGGGGCCUUUGAGGCUUUAGUGGCGCAGCUAACGCGAUAAGUAGACCGCCUGGGGAGUACGGUCGCAAGACUAAAACUCAAAUGAAUUGACGGGGGCCCCGCACAAGCGGUGGAGCAUGUGGUUUAAUUCGAUGCAACGCGAAAACCUUACCUGGUCUUGACAUAUAAGAACUUUCCAAAUGGAUUGGUGCCCUCGGGAACUUACAUACAGGUGCUGCAUGGCUGUCCAGCUUCGUGUCCUGAAUUUUGGGUUAAUCCCCCACCGGCCCACCUUUUUCUU